rnacentral:rRNA from 1 species
AGAGUUUGAUCAUGGCUCAGAGCGAACGUUAGCGGCGGGCCUAACACAUGCAAGUCGAGCGAGAAAGGGGCUUCGGCCCUGAGUAAAGCGGCGGACGGGUGAGUAACACGUAGGUAAUCUUCCCUUGAGCGGGGGACAACGGUCCGAAAGGACCGCUAAUACCGCAUACGUUUCCAGAGGCCCCGGUUUCUGGAAGGAAAGCUAGGCCGCAAGGUCCGGCACUCGAGGAGGAGCCUGCGUCGCAUCAGCUAGUUGGUGGGGUAACGGCCUACCAAGGCGAAGACGCGUAGCUGGUCUGAGAGGAUGAUCAGCCACACUGGGACUGAGACACGGCCCAGACUCCUACGGGAGGCAGCAGUGGGGAAUAUUGGACAAUGGGCGCAAGCCUGAUCCAGCCACGCCGCGUGAGUGAUGAAGGCCUUCGGGUCGUAAAGCUCUGUGGGGAGGGACGAACCGCUGCACGUUCAUAGCGUGCAGCAUGACGGUACCUCCUUAGCAAGCACCGGCUAACUUCGUGCCAGCAGCCGCGGUAAUAC